rnacentral:rRNA from 1 species
AAUUCGAUGCAACGCGAACAACCUUACCUACCCUUGACAUGUCUGGAAGCCUGCUGAGAGGCGGGUGUGCCCGAAAGGGAACCGGAACACAGGUGCUGCAUGGCUGUCGUCAGCUCGUGUCGUGAGAUGUUGGGUUAAGUCCCGCAACGAGCGCAACCCUUGUCCCUAGUUGCUACGCAAGGGCACUCUAGGGAGACUGCCGGUGACAAACCGGAGGAAGGUGGGGAUGACGUCAAGUCCUCAUGGCCCUUAUGGGUAGGGCUUCACACGUCAUACAAUGGCCGGUACAGAGGGUUGCCAAGCCGCGAGGUGGAGCCAAUCCCAGAAAGCCGGUCGUAGUCCGGAUUGCAGUCUGCAACUCGACUGCAUGAAGUCGGAAUCGCUAGUAAUCGCGGAUCAGCAUGUCGCGGUGAAUACGUUCCCGGGUCUU